rnacentral:lncRNA from 1 species
UGUACAUUGGAAGAAAAGCAGAUGCUUAAAAUCAGGCAUGAACUCUGCAUUAACCAGGUAAAUUUUCUAGAAUGUUGUCUGCGAGAAUUAUGAUGUGUCAUUAAGAGGUAUUGAGAAGAAGCUUUAACGUUUAGUGUUUAUCUAUAUAUAAUAUUAGCUUGAAAAACAAAAUACUCGAGCCUAAUUCGACAUGUGUUAGCUUGCUUGCUUACAUUGUUGGUCCCGAACUGGGAUAAAGGAUGGUCGGUAGGUUGAUGACUAGCAAAACACUAGUCAAUUUAUGAUGUGAAUCCUCACUAUACAAAGCUAACUUUUCUAGCCUGACUAGUAAUUGCAACUAAUGUCCUGGCAAUUGAGUUCCUCGGGUCGAGUCUAGACAGGUGGAAAAGAAACAGUUUACCAUCUGACGGACACCGUUAACAGUCUAGCACAAAUUGAUCCAACCUAAACCAGCAUACUCUUAAUGCUCAUUGCAAAACUACAAGACAUACACUGUUAUUAUGUGUCCUAUACGUGCGGAUUCCCGUUUUCUUUAAGGUAGCUCAGGGGGGCGCUCCUCUUCGGCAAGAGGAAGUUGCUUGCCUUCUCGAUCAUUCCCUUUGUCCCUCAUUCUUCAAGAAUAAGGGAGAACCUUUUCAAGUUUUUCUUUGUAUCACCGAGACACCAAAAGGCCCAGCCAUAUGUACACUGUUAUUAUGUGUCUGAUACUUGCGGAUUCCCGUUUUCUUUAAGGUAGCUCAGGGGGGCGCUCCUCUUCGGCAAGAGGAAGUUGCUUGCCUUCUCGAUCAUUCCCUUUGUCCCUCAUUCUUCAAGAAUAAGGGAGAACCUUUUCAAGUUUUUCUUUGUAUCACCGAGACACCAGAAGGCCCAGCCAUAUGUACCUUCGGAGCCCCAGGUCAUCCAAAUCAGAAUAAAAUAAGCACCUAUGACUAAGGGGAAUGAUAUGUCGACCACACGGCAAGAGAAUUGAUUGAUUAGUAUCAUAAAGUUUUGACAAGAGAAAGAAUGCAUCAUAUACC